rnacentral:rRNA from 1 species
UACAGAGGUCUCAAGCGUUGUUCGGAUUCAUUGGGCGUAAAGGGUGCGUAGGCGGCGCGGUAAGUCGGGUGUGAAAUCUCGGAGCUUAACUCCGGGCCUGCAGUGGGUACGGGCAGACUAGAGUGCGGUAGGGGAGACUGGAAUUCCUGGUGUAGCGGUGAAAUGCGCAGAUAUCAGGAGGAACACCGGUGGCGAAGGCGGGUCUCUGGGCCGUAACUGACGCUGAGGAGCGAAAGCGUGGGGAGCGAACAGG